UACAGAGGUGGCAAGCGUUGUUCGGAAUUACUGGGCGUAAAGGGCGCGUAGGCGGCCUUCUAAGUCAGACGUGAAAUCCCCCGGCUUAACCUGGGAACUGCGUCUGAUACUGGGAGGCUAGAGUGCGGGAGAGGGAUGCGGAAUUCCAGGUGUAGCGGUGAAAUGCGUAGAUAUCUGGAGGAACACCGGUGGCGAAGGCGGCAUCCUGGACCGACACUGACGCUGAGGCGCGAAAGCGUGGGGAGCAAACAGG
rnacentral:rRNA from 1 species